rnacentral:lncRNA from 1 species
ACAUUUUGUUUUCGGAUCUGUAUUCUACCUUAAUCUAAAUUAUAAAUAUGGAGAUUCGAACUUGGGGUACAAGGAGACAUGCUACCUCACAACCCGUUAACUUUACAUCUUAUAAAAACAAUUAUAACGAAGGGUGUCUUGCCUCGCAAGUCAACUUUAACUUGAUUACUGUAGAUUUUACUUCAUUUUUUUAUGCACUUACAUUAGAAAUACAGUAGGUUAAGAGAUUAGUGUGAAAACCAUUGAAAUUAAAUUAGUCAUGCCAUAUGAUUAAACAUUAACCAAAGUUGAUUAAUUGUGUCAUAUUGAAGUUAAAGCACGUACGUAUGUUGUGAACUGUAAUUUCAAAGCUAAGUUCCACUUUCUAAACCAAACCCAUCACCUCAUAAAAUAAAAGCUCAGUUGCUCAUAAUACUACAAAAACUUUAUAAAAAAAUAGCCAUAUAAUUUUUCAAAAAUCCGUGCAAUAUAGUCUAAUUAUCGAAGAAAAUUUUAGGAACUGUUGAGCGAAAAAAUUAGGUGCAAAUAGGAGCACUGCCGCACGAGAUAAACCAAAACCUCUUCCAUGUUUCUUGUCGGAGAAGGAAAAUGAAAAUUAAUUACUUUUAGACGGAUAUGAGCACUGCCAUUGAACUUUUUGAACCGUCAAAAAAAUAUCACUAUACUGUAGUACUAGAUAGGGGGCAAAGAGAAACUAAACUGCAAGUAAAAGAUGAUACUGCAAUAUUCUACUAAUCUGAUCUACUAAUUAACCUGUUAGGGAGGCAUAAUUAUAAACUGCUAACUUUAAUUACUAAUUACUAAUGGGGACUAUGCUAUCAAUCAGCGGCCCAGCUGUGUAUGUGUGUAGCUGCUGGUGCUGGUUCAUUUUUCGCCGGAAUCUUGUAGUGUAGGAUUUAGGGUUAAGUCCACUACCUAAAGGGUGAAAAUCCUAAAUAUGCCCAACCACCUUUGCUUCUGAAUUCAUAACGCAUUAAGUAUUGAAAGAAUAAGGAAAUUACAAUAGAAAACGACGUACUUAUCAAGAAGCCACACUUGCAGCCUCUAUCAACUCAUCUUCCUCGUCAACAAUCAUCUCG